UGAGCAACCUACCCUUGACACCGGAAUAACAGCUGGAAACAGCUGCUAAUACCGGAUACGACCUCCGAUGGCAUCAUCUGGAGGUGGAAAGCUCUGGCGGUCAAGGAUGGGCUCGCGGCCUAUCAGCUUGUUGGUGAGGUAACGGCUCACCAAGGCUUCGACGGGUAGCCGGCCUGAGAGGGCGACCGGCCACACUGGGACUGAGAUACGGCCCAGACUCCUAGGGAGG
rnacentral:rRNA from 1 species